AGCAGCCGCGGUAAUUCCAGCUCCAAUAGCGUAUAUUAAAGUUGCUGCAGUUAAAAAGCUCGUAGUUGAAUUUCGGGAUCAAUAUGUUGGUCGUGCCUCGGUACGUACUAGCUUAUUGGUUUCUUCCUUCUGACGAACCAUAAUGUCAUUUAUUUGGUGUUAUGGGGGAUCAGGACUGUUACUUUGAAAAAUUAGAGUGUUUAAAGCAGGCUCACGCUUGAAUACAUUAGCAUGGAAUAAUGAAAUAGGACGUUUGAUUCUAUUUUGUUGGUUUCUAGGAUCGACGUAAUGAUUAAUAGGGAUAGUUGGGGGCAUUAGUAUUCAAUUGUCAGAGGUGAAAUUCUUGGAUUUAUUGAAGACUAACUACUGCGAAAGCAUUUGCCAAGGAUGUCUUCAUUAAUCAAGAACGAAAGUUAGGGGAUCGAAGACGAUCAGAUACCGUCGUAGUCUUAACCAUAAACUAUGCCGACUAGGGAUCGGAUGAUGUUAAUUUUUAAUGACUCAUUCGG
rnacentral:rRNA from 1 species